rnacentral:rRNA from 1 species
GCCGGCGAGUGGCGAACGGGUGAGUAAUGUAUCGGAACGUGCCCAGUAGCGGGGGAUAACUGGCCGAAAGGUCAGCUAAUACCGCAUACGCCCUACGGGGGAAAGGGGGGGAUUCUUCGGAACCUCUCACUAUUGGAGCGGCCGAUAUCGGAUUAGCUAGUUGGUGGGGUAAUGGCCUACCAAGGCGACGAUCCGUAGCUGGUUUGAGAGGACGACCAGCCACACUGGGACUGAGACACGGCCCAGACUCCUACGGGAGGCAGCAGUGGGGAAUUUUGGACAAUGGGGGAAACCCUGAUCCAGCCAUCCCGCGUGUGCGAUGAAGGCCUUCGGGUUGUAAAGCACUUUUGUCAGGGAAGAAAAGGUUCUGGCUAAUACCCGGAACUGAUGACGGUACCUGAAGAAUAAGCACCGGCUAACUACGUGCCAGCAGCCGCGGUAAUACGUAGGGUGCAAGCGUUAAUCGGAAUUACUGGGCGUAAAGCGUGCGCAGGCGGUUCGGAAAGAAGGAUGUGAAAUCCCAGGGCUCAACCUUGGAACUGCAUUCUUAACUACCGAACUAGAGUAUGUCAGAGGGGGGUAGAAUUCCGCGUGUAGCAGUGAAAUGCGUAGAUAUGCGGAGGAAUACCGAUGGCGAAGGCAGCCCCCUGGGAUAAUACUGACGC